UACGGGGGGGGCAAGCGUUGUUCGGAAUUACUGGGCGUAAAGGGCUCGUAGGCGGCCAACUAAGUCAGACGUGAAAUCCCUCGGCUUAACCGGGGAACUGCGUCUGAUACUGGAUGGCUUGAGUUUGGGAGAGGGAUGCGGAAUUCCAGGUGUAGCGGUGAAAUGCGUAGAUAUCUGGAGGAACACCGGUGGCGAAGGCGGCUUUCUGGACGGUAACUGACGCUGAGACGCGAAAGCGUGGGGAGCAAACAGG
rnacentral:rRNA from 1 species